UGGGGAAUUUUGGACAAUGGGGGCAACCCUGAUCCAGCCAUGCCGCGUGAGUGAAGAAGGCCUUCGGGUUGUAAAGCUCUUUCGGCCGGAAAGAAAGCUUAUUCCCUAAUAGGGGAUGAGGUUGACGGUACCGGCAGAAGAAGCACCGGCUAACUACGUGCCAGCAGCCGCGGUAAUACGUAGGGUGCGAGCGUUAAUCGGAAUUACUGGGCGUAAAGCGUGCGCAGGCGGCUAUUUAAGCUUGCUGUGAAAGCCCCGGGCUUAACCUGGGAACUGCAGUGAGGACUGGAUGGCUAGAGUGUGGCAGAGGGGGGUGGAAUUCCACGUGUAGCAGUGAAAUGCGUAGAGAUGUGGAGGAACACCGAUGGCGAAGGCAGCCCCCUGGGCUAACACUGACGCUCAGGCACGAAAGCGUGGGGAGCAAACAG
rnacentral:rRNA from 1 species